rnacentral:rRNA from 1 species
UACGGGGGGGGCAAGCGUUGUUCGGAAUUACUGGGCGUAAAGGGCUCGUAGGCGGCCAACUAAGUCAGACGUGAAAUCCCCAGGCUCAACUUGGGAACUGCGUCUGAUACUGGAUGGCUUGAAUUCGGGAGAGGGAUGCAGAAUUCCAGGUGUAGCGGUGAAAUGCGCAGAUAUCAGGAGGAACACCGGUGGCGAAGGCGGAUCUCUGGGCCAUUACUGACGCUGAGGAGCGAAAGCGUGGGGAGCGAACAGG